UAUAAUACAACACUUUUCUGUAAACGCAGUGAUUCAUAGCUAUAGUAAUUUAAAAACAAACAAAAAAACCUAUAGUAAUACAACUUUUACACCUGCCGCGCCAAAACCAAAUUAAAGAAACAAAACCCUACCCAGGAUCAGCACCACCACCGCCUAAGUAUUUCCCCACAAUCUCCAUCUUCUUUCCUUCUCCCACCACGACUUCCACAGUUAAGAUUGAGUUCCCAAUCGAACUCAAGAACUCAAGAGUUCAAUCCCAAUCCAAGUUGACUCAAAUCGAAAUUUCCCAAAUCGAAAAUUAAAGAGUUCUCUUCAAUCCAGAUCCAGAUAUUUCCGUAUGUAUCUUCUUCUCCGGCGAACGUUGGCGGCGAUUAUUAUCCGGCGAACAUAUUUUCCCGAUGCGUGUGAUUGAAUUAUCAAUUAACUCCUUUGAGAAAACUUCUAUUGAAAGGGCUAAGCCAGUUGAAACUUGGCAGAGGUCCUAUGGUUGCCCAAACGUUGUCUUCAACGAUGUUUGUGUUGUUUCUCUCAAGCGUAUAUGGUCUCCUCGAUGCUCAUUGGCGCUUCACGGAUGGUUCUGCCAUUAGUCCAACAUAACAAGUCCUUAUAGUUCAUCACCUUCUCGAAGCAACUUUUCUUGGUACAGGAAUCUCCUUGUUCCUUGCUCUCAUAAUUGACAGACAACACUAUUAUAUAAAUGAGAUUCGUCUUUUGAGGAACAAGUCAGAAGAUAACGAGCUUCAUCAACAAAAAGGAAGAAGGAUGUAAGUGAAGUACUUUCAUAAUUAAGGAGGCCGACAAUGUAAGUUAAUACAGUUAAUACGCUCAACGCUUACUUAACAGGAAGCGGUAAAUAAUUUUAGUUAUUCAAAUAUCUGUGUGGAUAAAAGGCAUGAGUGUUCAUUUGUUUGUCACGGGUAUUAAGAUCACACCUUACAAUUUGACUUUUACACGAUUCAUAUAUACUUCGUAGUUUAUUUUAGCUGCGUGGUGUGAAUGAUAGGUACACAUGUUCGAAUCCUUAUUCAUGAAUGUUUGAGCAACAACUUCAUUCACGAUAAAAAGUAUUUGAAACUCCCACGAGACCUAUCUGUUAAGCCUGUCUUCGUAGUCGCACCAUAUUGGCCUUGUGUUCCUGUCUUCCCUGUGAUCUUGUUAGCCCGCAUAGUACCAUUCGAACCCCUGGAUUACUGCCCCAUGUACUGUUGCUGCUAGUACUACUGCGACCACUUUAGCCUCUACUUCUUCCAGCCCGUAGAGAUGCAAGAAUAAUCCGUAACAAGCUCUUCUCCUUGCUUAGAUUUUGGUUCCUCAUCAUCAUUGGCCAUGAUUAACAGCCUAUUUUCUAACCUCAAGGGCCCUUGUUUAGAUACAGAACAGAAGCUAAAUUGAACCAAACCGUGUCAGUUGCGUUUUACUUAUGAGAAAUCAGACCCUAAUCAAAUGCAUACAUCUUGUUUAGGUCAUAAAUAGAAUAUAGUUGGAAGUAAGAACUACAGAAAAGGCCAGCACCAGAUCAGACUGACUGACAGCAAUAACUUGGUCAAAAUUGACCAGGGUUAACCAGAACCAAGCCCUAGAAACAUCUGAUUUAGCACCAACCAGACUGACUGUUGGAUUAUCUACAAAUUAUGUGGCUACUGCGUUACUGAUUCAGGCACAUGAGUCCGAACGCUAUGUUGAAUCAUUCACUAUAUAUAACGAAUUGCAGAUAAAAUUAACUUCAACAGUAGCCAAUCUUUUCUUUUUCAUACCACAAUAGAAAAUACAGCAGGGUUUAAGUUCUUCCGAAUGAAGUAUGACUUUAAGUGACUUGUUUUUUAAGCGAAAACUUCACAGAGAAAUACACAAUCCUUUAGUUCAUUUCUCAUAUGAAUUCUCUGUUGUUCAUUAGUAGUCAAUGCAGGGGGUACAACCUGUGCACCAGGAAUUCUCUGUUGUUCAUUAGUAGGCAACGCAGUAGGUGGUUUACCCCCUGCAGAUGAUGGGGUUCUUUUCUGAUUACAAUGAUUGAUUUCUUUAUCCAAUUCUGCAGACAAAACAUCUAGCGGAGCUCAGAUUAUACAGUCUAAUUCAACACUGAAGUAUAGAUGUAUAAUAUAUGUUGUCUUACAGUGUGCAGACGCAGCCUCUAGUUGAGCUAAACUCCCAUUUCUGGCACUAGAACUAAGUCUCUAUAUAGAUGUAUAAUAUAUGUUGGUUUUGUUUGCAGAGCACUUUUUGGUUUUCGAACCGAAAAAGGAUUGUUGAAGAAAAUUAAAAUGAGCACCAAGUGGAUACAGAUACAAUGUCCUCGGCAAAAAAAUGUCAUGGAUUCUGGAUAUUAUGUCAUGAGAUACAUGAAAGAGAUCAUCGACCAUAAGCAAACUCGAAUAUUUGAAGAUUACUUUCAUGAUUGCAAUGUUCCACAUUAUGAUCAAGGAGAAAUUGAUGAAGUCAGAGCUCAAUGGAUGCGUCAUGUUCUUCCCAUGUGAAUAUUGUGAUGUAUUAAUUAUGUUUUUCGACUAGAAUUUCUCUAGAACGUUUUAAUUUUAUUUUAUUGGUUUGAAAUUAAAAGAAGUACUAUAUGACAAUGAUACUUCUUUCUGUUUUGUAGUGUGUUUUUAUUCUACUGUGUAUUUAGGAAUAUAUGAUUUUAAGUUAUGUACGAGACAUCGCGACGUUUAUUUGAUAUGAUAGAAAUGAAGUUGGAUGUUA